GAUGAACGCUGGCGGCGUGCCUAAUACAUGCAAGUCGAGCGAACGGACGAGAAGCUUGCUUCUCUGAUGUUAGCGGCGGACGGGUGAGUAACGCGUGGAUAACCUACCUAUAAGACUGGGAUAACUUCGGGAAACCGGAGCUAAUACCGGAUAAUAUUUUGAACCGCAUGGUUCAAAAGUGAAAGACGGUCUUGCUGUCACUUAUAGAUGGAUCCGCGCUGCAUUAGCUAGUUGGUAAGGUAACGGCUUACCAAGGCAACGAUGCAUAGCCGACCUGAGAGGGUGAACGGCCACACUGGAACUGAGACACGGUCCAGACUCCUACGGGAGGCAGCAGUAGGGAAUCUUCCGCAAUGGGCGAAAGCCUGACGGAGCAACGCCGCGUGAGUGAUGAAGGUCUUCGGAUCGUAAAACUCUGUUAUUAGGGAAGAACAUAUGUGUAAGUAACUGUGCACAUCUUGACGGUACCUAAUCAGAAAGCCAGGGCUAACUACGUG
rnacentral:rRNA from 1 species